rnacentral:rRNA from 1 species
GACGAACGCUAGCGGCGUGCCUAAGGUAUGCAAGUCGAACGGGGGCUUCGGCCCCAGUGGCGCACGGUCGAGUAACACGUAGACAACCUGCCUUCCAGUGGGGGACAACUCCGGGAAACUGGGCUAAUACCGCAUGGGGUGUCCAGGGGAAUCCCUGGAAUGCUAAAGCUCGCAAGGGCGCUGGGAGAUGGGGUCUGCGGCCUAUCAGCUAGCUGGUGAGGUAACGGCUCACCAGGGGCGACGACGGGUAGCGGGUCUGAGAGGAUGAUCAGCCACACUGGAACUGAGACACGGUCCAGACUCCUACGGGAGGCAGCAGUGGGGAAUAUUGGACAAUGGGCGCAAGCCUGAUCCAGCCAUGCCGCGUGUGUGAAGAAGGCCUGG